rnacentral:rRNA from 1 species
UACGUAGGGUGCGAGCGUUGUCCGGAAUUAUUGGGCGUAAAGGGCGCGUAGGCGGUGCGGUAAGUCACCUGUGAAAUCUCCUGGCUCAACUGGGAGUCUGCAGGCGAAACUGCCGUGCUGGAGUGUGGGAGAGGUGAGUGGAAUUCCCGGUGUAGCGGUGAAAUGCGUAGAUAUCGGGGAGGAACACCUGUGGCGAAAGCGGCUCACUGGACCACAACUGACGCUGAGGCACGAAGCGUGGG